CGGGGCGUAGCGCAGCCUGGUAGCGUACUUGGUUCGGGACCAAGUGGCCGGUGGUUCAAAUCCACUCGCCCCGA
rnacentral:tRNA from 7 species